UAACCAUUAAGUUUACAUCUCCAUCAAGUCUGUGUCUCAAAAUUAAAAUAUUAUGAAACACGGUCGAUGGCUAAAAGAGAGGCCAGUGUAUAUCACUCAUAAUAACCUGCAAGCAAAACAGGUAAUUUCACCAUGUGGGUUUAUUUAAAUAUGUUUGGCCCCAGGCUUUUCAGAACUGAGCCAAUGGAGAUUCUGAUUGUAUUCAGACAAGGACAAAUGGGCACAAUGCAUUCAUUGAAGCUCAUGCAAUAAUUAGCUCCCGUCAGGCCCAAGAAAGGUUGACGGUUGAGUGGUUGAAAUAUUAAAGUUAAUAAUUAGAAAAGGGGAAAAAAAGAAGGUGAGGGCCAAAUGUGAAACAUGACACAGCUGCUUGGAGUCUAAUAGUCCCCUCUCUGACAUGGUGCUUGCUCAGUGGCUAGUGAGAAGGUGACACGAGGUGACAAGUGCUCGGGCGGAAUUUUAGAAGUGGUUGAAGUAAGGCUAACCUAACUCACUUUUUCCACCCUGUGUGUUUGUGUGUGUGAGCUAUGUGCCAGUGUGAGAGUGCAGUAAGCCACGGUGCUCCACAGCUCGUUCUCCUAAUCGUGCGGAAACUCAGACUACUUACAGGAGCAAUGAGGGAGGUAAUGAGAAAGUAAUUUUUACUAAUUUCAGCCAGCUCUACUUCCAUUCUGUAUGAUUGUGUGUGCCGUCUGCAUCAUUACGGGCAACAUCUGCAACGACUUGCCAUGCAUACACCACCAAGAAGGCUGAAAAAAAGAGGGAAGAAAAAGAGAGAGACAAGGAGAGGAGAAAGACAACAAGCUGGUAGCAAGUGGCCAUCCUGCGCCCUGCCUCCUGCAUGCGCUACUCAGGCGUCUCCCUCAACAAGAACGGAGCAGAUACACAGCUGUCAGGCAUGAGGACACUGUCAACAAAUGUGACAAAAGAGACGAGUGACAGAAGAGGGACAUAAACACCGGCUGCGAGCGAAUGUAUCC